AUAAGCAGCAUGAUCAACGCUGACUUAUCGGCAGAUGCGAGUAUUUGUGUUUGAAUAAUAAUAAUAAUAACAACAAUCCAGAUGGCGCUGUAGGUCAUGUGAGUUGCGACGAACUUCACGCAACUCAUUCAACUGAAAGCACGUCGCGAGGUAUGAUCGAGACUUGGAAAGAUUCGUGAACUUUUGUUGAGAAAACACCAUUCCCGUUCUAUUCCGAAGAUCCUACGGGUGUUUGUGAGUUGAGAAAUGUGGUGAAAAAUGAACGAACUCAAGGUUAAAACCGUGCACUUGUUUGCCGCGUUAGCGACCCCAUGCAAAGCGUAACUUUACGUUAUCGGCCGAGUAAAACUGUGCGCGCUGCGCGUGGCUUGUGUUGUGUGCACUGAUCUCUAUGUGGUUGUGUGUCAUUGGUGUGUGAAUAGUAGCUAGGGAGAAGUGGCAUCUUUCAGGGACCUUCGCUGCGUUUUCCCCAAAGGAAAAUGGUCGCCAGCUGUCAUUUGGGUGAUGAGAUGUUCAGCGACACAUGAAAAGACUGAAAAGAGGCUCGAGAGUGCGGUUGUAAAUAUCAGAGAACGGGAGAAAGCGCGUGGUGAUGUGAGGCUGAACACGGCGGAAUAUAUAUCGUCAGUUAAUACGAAGAGGCCGCGCUCGGAAACACGCGUAUAAAAACCCUAAGGUAGUGCAAUGAAAACCCCGUCGUACUUCACUGUUUACAAUUCGUCCCCUGCUUGCGUCGCCGUCGUAUCGUGCGAUAGUCGAGAGUAUCCUGUGCGGUUUAUCGCCGUAAACAAUACGGCGCGUUUAUAAUCAAAGAAGCCGAAAUAGAAACCCCGGCGAAUCAUCGUGUGUUCUUUACCUUCCCGACGACGCUCUCAUCGUCUCAAUGUGCUUAAAAUCGAUAAUUUUUAUUGACUUUUCUACCUAACCACCCCGAAGUCAACCCUAGGCAUAUACCACUGCCUGUCUACUACUUGUGGUGCUGCACCGAAUGCGGAUAAUUAUUAUUUUCCUCAACAUCCUCAUAACGAACAAGUGAAUCAGCAUGGGUUCGAGCCAACAGUUCUCCUUGAGGUGGAACAACUAUCUUAAACACAUAACAUGUGCUUUUGACACUCUCAGAACCGACGAGGACUUGGUUGACGUUACUCUAAGUUGCGAGGGAAAACGUAUUAGAGCGCACAAAAUGCUGCUUUCGGCAUGCAGCACAUACUUCAGAGACUUGUUCAAGGAAAAUCCAUGCCAGCAUCCGGUCAUUAUAUUUAGGAAUGUCAAAUUCGACGAUUUGGCAGCGCUGGUCGACUUCAUGUAUCAAGGCGAGGUGAACGUCGUUCAAGAGCAACUUGCCAGUUUCUUAACCACCGCAGAACUCCUUGCUGUUCAAGGUCUUACCGACGGGACGGGAAAGGACAGCGACAGCGUUAACGAGGAGGAUGCGGAUAUCCCUAACGAGCCUGAAGUCCAGUUAAAAAAUCCAGCAAGUAAAUUGCCGACCAGCAAUCACGGAUCAAAGUCGCCAGCGUCGCCACGAAACUUCCCAACUCUUGAUAUACAGUCGGAAACGCCACCUAAUAAACGACGAAAAUAUCGGGAAAGUAGCGGGGCUAAUACGGAAAAGGGGUCAACGGGUAACACGGUAUCUGCGAUAAAAGAAUCAGAGCGGAAGACUUUGGACAGCAACAAUACUCCCUCCGGUGAUUCGGUUGAAAUAAUUCCACUAAUGCCAAACCUCAAAUUGGAAAUGCCCGAGUACCUAGAACAGGACGGCAGCAGUUGUAGUUACGAGGAUCAAAGUGCCGGAGAGAGCUCGACAAACAGAAUCGUCCUUGACGAAACACCCUCAGACAUUCUCGAUCACGAGCAAAAGCCAGAUAUUAGUCACUCGUUUUAUUCAGCUAAUCAGUCAACCUCUGACACAUCUUUAGAUAUAACGCAUCAAUCGGCCGAUCAGGGUCAUUUACUAUCAAAACCGAGUACGUCAGGAGAGAGGCUAUCACAGGAAGCAGUACAGGGGGGGGUGGGUCGCAAACAGAAGCAUGUUGGCGAUGCAACUGCUCACAUGGUAAUGCAGGGCCCAGGCCGUUUUGCGUGCAGUCUCUGCGGAAGUGUUUACAAGCACCUUGCUUCACUGAGCCAGCACCUUGAAGUGCAUCGCAACAAGACAACCUGCGUCCUAUGCGACACCACUCUGAGUCGUAGAACCGAUUUGCGACGGCACAUGCAUCUUAAGCAUAACAUGCAAUGGCAAAAGACAAUGAAAAGGCGUCGGGAUUCGAAAAAACGUAGGGCUACGAAAAGGACUGACCUCUGGUACCCGAUAACGGAAUCUACAGGGCGCGUUAAGUACGUCUGCAAGAUUUGCGGUGCUAAAUAUUCUCACGUGCAGACAAUGACAGGCCAUUUCAAGCUCCACUGGGGUCAGACGAUCUGCUAUCUCUGCGGAAAAGUAUUCAGCCGGAAGCCACACUUGGUACGACACUUGCUGCAAAAGCAUUCCAUCGACUGGUCACGUCGUGGAAGAUACAAAACGCUAGAUGUGCGCAACAAAGAUAACAACCAAGCCAAAAACAAGUAAAACCUCCAAGACUCCGAUAUACGGAUUAACGCUCUUCUAUAUCUCUAUUGUCAGUGCGCGGAGUACAUUUCUUCUUCGUCCAAGCACGAAUAAAACCUACCUUAAGGUACGAAAACGUCCGACGGUCGUCCGAAUUAUAAGAUGAGAAAAAAUAUGCAUAAUAGUCGCAACGGAACUUGUUAUAGUUAAUGUCAUCGACGAUUAUUUCAUAAGAAUGAUAUUGUGAGUGGUGUAUCGAAAGGGCAAAAAAAUUAUUUUAUAAUCAACACUCUGAUAAUAUAAACUCUGUGCUUUUUAGAAUAAUUAUUAAUACAUAUGUAUAAUACAUGUUAUCUUCAAUCGGUACGGCUUAAUUGGUGAUAAAAGAAAGUGUAAUCCAUGGACUGAAAUAGUUUAUCCAUUCUGUUUUCACUCUUGUUUCAACUUGUUGAACAACACAUUUGUGAACCGAAUAAGCAACUGACUGUUUUUGUCGAAUUUUACAAUAAAUAGUACUUGCGCAGUCGAUCGUUUUGCUGAACAGUGUCAUGGGAUAGGAAGCUUUUUGCAUUUACUAAAGUAGCGGUCAAGAUUAAUGGUUUGGGUUUUUGUAAAAGGUUUUUUUUUUUCUUUUUUUCUAUUUUUUGUAAAGGGUGAAUCUUGUACUAACGGCGUAGGGUACGUCACAUUGUAUAUCGCAUGGCAUGGUGUAACUGGAAAAAGACUCGCUUCGUAGACUCCUACCUGUUUCCUCCACUUCCGAAAGAAAUGAAAGAGAUUAUAAUAUCCGCCUGUAAAGGGGCUAUAUGCAAUUAUACAUGCAUACACACGUGCACACGUGUCACACACACACACGCACACGCAGGCACGCAUAUAGAGGUAUAAAUGGAGUGCAGGAGCGUUGAGUAAUUUGUUACUACUAGUGAAUAAUCAUAAAAAACGUCGUG
rnacentral:misc_RNA from 1 species